rnacentral:rRNA from 1 species
AUUGCCUUAGUACGGCGAGUGAAGCGGCAAAAGCUCAAAUUUGAAAUCUGGCACCUUCGGUGUCCGAGUUGUAAUUUGAAGAAGGUAACUUUGGAGUUGGCUCUUGUCUAUGUUCCUUGGAACAGGACGUCACAGAGGGUGAGAAUCCCGUGCGAUGAGAUGCCCAAUUCUAUGUAAAGUGCUUUCGAAGAGUCGAGUUGUUUGGGAAUGCAGCUCUAAGUGGGUGGUAAAUUCCAUCUAAAGCUAAAUAUUGGCGAGAGACCGAUAGCGAACAAGUACAGUGAUGGAAAGAUGAAAAGAACUUUGAAAAGAGAGUGAAAAAGUACGUGAAAUUGUUGAAAGGGAAGGGCUUGAGAUCAGACUUGGUAUUUUGCGAUCCUUUCCUUCUUGGUUGGGUUCCUCGCAGCUUACUGGGCCAGCAUCGGUUUGGAUGGUAGGAUAAUGACUAAGGAAUGUGGCUCUACUUCGGUGGAGUGUUAUAGCCUUGGUUGAUACUGCCUGUCUAGACCGAGGACUGCGUCUUUUGACUAGGAUGUUGGCAUAAUGAUCUUAAGCCACCCGUCUUGA